UAAGAAAAUUCAAAGGAAGCACAUUGAAAAAUAUAUAGAAGAAUAAAAAUAGGUAAACUAGAUAUUCAAAUAGUUGUCAAAAACUAGAGAAUACAAUUAAACCGAUUAAUAAUUGAGAUAAUGUUAAACAUAUUAAUUAUUAAAAUCUAAGUAUCCAUAUAUAAGUAAAGUAGUAUAUGAGAAGGGAACGUGGGGAACUGAAACAUCUUAGUACCCACAGGAAAAGAAAGAGAAAUCGAUUCCUAGAGUAGUGGCGAGCGAAAUAGGAAGAGCCUAAACCAUGAGUAGUAAUACACAUGGGGUUCGGACCACGAUAUAUUAUCAAUAAUUCUAAUAGAAAUGUUUUGGAAAAGCAUACCAUAGACGGUGAAAGUCCAGUAUAUGAAAGAAAAGUUGAGAUUAGUGGUAUCCAGAGUAGUACGAGACACGAGAAAUCUCGUAUGAAUAAGCGGGGACCAUCCCGUAAGGCUAAAUACUACUUGGUGACCGAUAGUGAACUAGUACCGUGAGGGAAAGGUGAAAAGAACCCCGGGAGGGGAGUGAAAUAGAACAUGAAACCCUAUGUUUACAAGCAGACAAAGCACUUUAUAUGUGCGAUGUCGUACUUUUUGUAGAACGGUCCAGCGAGUUAUUGUGUAUGGCGAGGUUAAGUAUUACGUAAGGUACGGAGCCGAAGCGAAAGCGAGUCUGAAAAGGGCGAUAUAAGUCAUGCAUAAUAGACCCGAAACUGAGUGACCUAUCCAUGAGCAGGAUGAAGCUAGAGUAAAAUCUAGUGGAGGUCCGAACUGAUUGUCGUUAAAAAGGCACCGGAUGACUUGUGGAUAGCGGAGAAAUUCCAAUCGAACUCAGAGAUAGCUGGUUCUCCUCGAAAUAGCUUUAGGGCUAGCCUUGAGGGAAUGCAUAUGGGGGUAGAGCACUGAAUGAGGUAGGGGCCUAACCAGGUUACCAAACUCUAUCAAACUCCGAAUACCAUAUGUAAAUACUCAGGAGUCAGACUGCGGGAGCUAAGUUCCGUGGUCAAAAGGAAAACAGUCCAGAUCGUCAAUUAAGGUCCCAAAGAUAUAGCUAAGUGGAAAACGAUGUGAUUUUGCAUAAACAACCAGGAUGUUGGCUCAGAAGCAGCCAUUCAUUCAAAGAGUGCGUAAUAGCUCACUGGUCGAGUGAAGUUGCGCGGAAAAUUACCGGGGCUAAGCUAUACACCGAAAUUGCGGAUUUACAUUUGAAAGAUAAUGUGAGUGGUAGAGGAGCAUUCUGUAGUAGGAAGAAGCAUGACCGUAAGGACAUGUGGACGAAGCAGAAGAGAGAAUGCUGGAAUAAGUAGCGAGAGGAUGGUGAGAAUCCAUCCCGUCGAAAAUCUAAGGUUUCCCAGGGAAGGUUCGUCCGCCUGGGGUAAGUCGGGACCUAAGGAGAGGCCGAAAGGCGUAUCUGAUGGAUAGCAGGUUGAAAUUCCUGCACUACGAAUAUACUUAAAAGAUUCAAGGGACGCAGAAGUGGAAGAUAACCAAGUAAGAGGAAAAGCUUGGCUCGCAAGAGGGAGUGAAAAUUAAAAGUAACGAAGUAUCAAGAAGCACGCUGACGAGAAAAGCUUGAAGAUAUUGUAUAUAAGUACCCGUACCGCAAACCGACACAGGUAGAUGAGGAGAGGAUCCUAAGACGAGCGGGAGAAGCAUUGUUAAGGAACUCGGCAAAUUAACCCCGUAACUUCGGAAUAAGGGGUGCUGAUGUAACAGUCAGUCGCAGAGAAAAGGCCCAAGCAACUGUUUAACAAAAACAUAGGUUUCUGCUAAAUCGAAAGAUGAAGUAUAGGAGCUGACGCCUGCCCAGUGCUGGAAGGUUAAGGGAAAGAGUUAGGGUUAAACCGAAGCUUAGAACUGAAGCCCCAGUGAACGGCGGCCGUAACUAUAACGGUCCUAAGGUAGCGAAAUUCCUUGUCAGGUAAGUUCUGACCCGCACGAAAGGCGUAAUGAUUUGUACUGGGUUUCGAUGAUUUAUGUACAGGAUAGUUGGGAGACUAUGAAAGAGAGGCGUCAGCUUCUCCGGAGUCGUUGUUGGGAUACCAACCUUAAGUUAUUGAAAUUCUAACUUGUAAUCGUAAACCGGUUAGAGGACAAUGUCAGACGGGCAGUUUGACUGGGGCGGUCGCCUCCUAAAGAGUAACGGAGGCGCCCAAAGGUUUCCUCAGCGCGGACAGAAAUCGCGCGAAAGAGUGCAAAGGCAGAAGGAAGCUUAACUGAGAGACAGACAUGUCGACCAGAUACGAAAGUAGGGCUUAGUGAUCCGGUGGUUGUAAAUGGAAAUGCCAUCGCUCAACGGACAAAAGUUACCCUGGGGAUAACAGGCUUAUCUCCCCCAAGAGUUCACAUCGACGGGGAGGUUUGGCACCUCGAUGU
rnacentral:rRNA from 1 species